CUAGAGGCACAUCCCUACAGCUCAUGAUGACACUUCUAUGCAAGCAGGAAUGAUGCUUUCAGAAAACAGAGCAAAUUACUGGCACUUUGAAAAAGUUACUCAGAGGAUGCUGCCAGUCAUAUAAAGGAUCCUCUGCUUCACAUUAUGAAAGAAAGACGUGAACUACAAACCUGAACGCAACCUGGAAUUUCCAAACAGAUGAUCUUGUGACAGCCUUUGCAAGAGUGCAGUUAUCAGGCAAAAUCCAGAUAACUGAAAUUCAAUACCAGCCAAUCCUAAAGAGGAAAUUUUGUGCUUUUGAAAUCCAUUCCUGCAACAAAGGAUUUGAGAGAGGAGAUAUAUCAGUAAAAACAGGUAUGUAGGUGGAAGAUAACCACAACCUGUAAGGAGUGAAGACACAAGGAGUGGUGAGAAAACUGGGGGAAAUAGUGAUGAGGAAAAUCUCUGAAACCUUGCAUGCAAAAGCAGCACAAAGGGGUCUGUUUUAAGUGUCUGAACACAAACACUUGUAGCUUGGGAAUCAACCAGCAGGGACCAAAAUCCAUGCACUGAUACAGAGCUGUGAUUUCACUGGGACUCCAGAGAUGCACAGAGAUAGCACAUGCAACUGAAGGGGUGCAAUGAAAGCUUCCAGAAUAUUUAGGAAU
rnacentral:lncRNA from 1 species